AAAUAAUUGCAAAAACACGUUUCCUGUCCAUUUGGCUUCUAGCAGGUAUGAAGGACAAGGGAUAUUUUGCAAUGACCUGCUGAGAGUGAACUACAUUUGUAUUUUUCAAAACACCCUGCAGCAGCUGUGUAAUUAGCAAGGUGCUAGUCUGGCUAGCACGGAGGCAUACGGAGGGGUGCUUCAAUGAUCCAGUAUUGAUUAGAGUUCUCCCUCCACCAAAAGCAAGGCAGACUAAACAAACAUACCCAGUUCCUUCAAUUCAUCCUCACUUGACACAGCCUGAUCACCAUCUUUGGUUGCCAGGAAGAUAAUAAUUUUUUUAGGUUUUGACUCUCUCCAGGAGGAAGACCAAAAGGAUAGAUUGGGGCUCCGGACUUGAGUUUCAAAGUCAGCAGAUAAAUAAGCUCUUUCCUAAGGAACUGGAGGCAAUAGAACCAUUCACCAGUGAUUCAUGUACCACUUUUUAAACUGCAACCAAAAAAAAAAAAGAUGAAUCAUCAAAGAAAUCGCCCAGAUUCUGAGUCUUCUUCCUGGGAUUCAACGAGAAUAGAUUCUAAAGUCUCUCUGUUGUUCAUUAACAUACUUACUCAUUCAUUUAAAAUAACCUCUUAGUGCUAUCAUAAUAAGGACGGGUUUUGUUGUGUGUGGGGUUUUUUUCCUUCCAAAAUCUUGUUCUUGGAAAUCUUUGUUUAAAAGCCAGAUGGGGCUCCAAGUCACUGUGAGAUGAAUCAUUCCAGAAACUUGGUGUUCACUGUAGCUGGACCAAUUAUGCUAAAAAUCUAUGCCUGGAGAAAUAGGAAUAUAAACAGGGAGGUUUAACUAGGAGACAAGUAUGCAGUCCAACUCCCCUCUUUUAAUAGAAACGUGUGUGUGUGUGUGUGUGUGUGUGUGUGUGCAUGUGCCCGGGUCCUACUCCAGAAAAUAAUGAGUCACCAACUUGAAAAGAGACCAUCUGGUUUGAGCAGUCAUUUGAGCCAGGAAGCAUUGACCCUGACAUUCAACCCUAUAGAUAUUGAAGAGAAAUAACACUGGAAAGAAGACAGCUACCAUUGGUGAUUGGUUGUUUCAAACUAGCUAGGGUAGUUUGGAAAACAUGGAACAGAAUUUUCUCCAGGUCAAGGACACCAUAUUGUUCUGUUCAAGGCUGUAAAGCUGAUAGGAAACCUACUUCCAAGAAAUGAGUAUUAGCAAAUUGUAAAAGAUUCAGUCAUUAACAUUGUUCCUGACUCCACUCCCUCUCCACUUCUCAACAACAGCCAUAUUCUUUAUACGGACCCUCCCCACUCUCUUUCCAGAUCCCCUCUGUGUAUUGUCUUCCCCCCAACAGAAUACAAAUUCUUUGAGAGGGAAAGAACUAUCUCAUUUGCUUUUAAUUGUAACCCAGCAUUUACCACAGUAUAUGGUACAUAAAGUACUUAUUGAGCUUUUAACAUCUAUCUAUCUACCUACCUACCUACCUACCUACCUACUUUAGUCCUUAUUGACAUAUGGCAGUGGUCAUGCAAGAUUGAUAGUGGGACAGAGGUAAAUUUUAUUUUAUUUUAUUUUUAUUGGACCUGUGAUUUUCAUUGUUAUGUGGAUGCUUUGUAUGUAUCUCUCUAACUUAGAGGCCAGAGGAAUCUCUUAAUAUGUCCACAGGAACUGGUGAUCUGUAUCACCACCCUUUAUGUAGCCGCUGUGGUUAGCUUGGAUUCAGCUUUGGGAAAGCCCAGUUUCUCAAUGAGGGAAUUAGGCUUCCCAUUCUUACACUCAUUGAGUCAUCACUCCCACCCUAGCCACUCUGUGGACAAUCCUCAAGUUUCCCUAAAAAAGGGGAAAGUGAAAGAUGUGCACAAUAUGCACAAGUAUAUGACAGGCUAUUUAUUCCUACACGGCGACUAACAAUAAACAUAAGAGAAACACAGUGUACAUUAACAGAAUGAUUCAAACAAGAUUCAGUAACUUAUUAGUGGUAAUACAAUCAGCUGAGAGGCUAAUUAAUAUUGAAGCCUCUUUGGGACACAAAAUAGUUUUUGCAGCACUACCAAUUACUCAUCUCUACUGGCAUCGAACUGUCAAAUAGCCCAGUUUGACCUCCUUUUGGUAACCCCUCUCCAGCUAUCCGACUCUUGUCACUGCUUGGAACGAUCUCUUCCUUAGUGUUGCUGUGUUAAUCUCUAUGGCUACUAAUCUUUUGAUGCUUACGAAGUUGAUGCAAAAGGAGGAACCACACCAGAUAGGCAAAGGUAACUAGAGGCCAGGUAUAAGCCUAGCUAGCUGAAUCUAUGGUGAUAAUUGUUGAAAUCAUGUCUGGUGGAGACGGACCAACAUAUGUUGCCACCUAGAGGACUUUGUCCAAGCCAGACCAUUAUCUGGGAGCUUCCAUUUUAACCAGGUGUGGUAGCCCAUAUCAUCAGCUCUUCCCAUCCGGCAACCAAUUAGAAGACUCUAAGUGGAUGAUUCAUACGUAGUCAGAAGGAGGCUUUAAAAGUUCCUGGCUGUGCGUAGAAGGAAGGCCUGAUCACAUAUUUAUAAAUAUGUUUUGUAAUGUGCAUUUAUAUGGACCAGUUGUCCCCCCCUUUCCCCAUUAGAGUGUAAAUAGGAAUUAUAUUUGCUUUUUGUCUUUGUAUCCCCAGUGGAGCAUACAGUAAGCACUUAAUAAGUGCUUAUUGAUUGAUUGAUGUGAAAAAAUACCAAAUAUCAAUAAAGGUCAUAGAUAUAGAA